AGAGUUUGAUCCUGGCUCAGAUUGAACGCUGGCGGCACGCCUUACACAUGCAAGUCGAACGGCAGCACGGGAGCAAUCCUGGUGGCGAGUGGCGAACGGGUGAGUAAUAUAUCGGAACGUGCCCAGUCGUGGGGGAUAACGCAGCGAAAGCUGUGCUAAUACCGCAUACGAUCUCUGGAUGAAAGCGGGGGACUCGCAAGAGCCUCGCGCGAUUGGAGCGGCCGAUAUCAGAUUAGCUAGUUGGUGGGGUAAAAGCCCACCAAGGCGACGAUCUGUAGCUGGUCUGAGAGGACGACCAGCCACACUGGAACUGAGACACGGUCCAGACUCCUACGGGAGGCAGCAGUGGGGAAUUUUGGACAAUGGGCGCAAGCCUGAUCCAGCAAUGCCGCGUGCAGGAUGAAGGCCUUCGGGUUGUAAACUGCUUUUGUACGGAACGAAACGGUCUGCUCUAAUAAAGUGGGCUAAUGACGGUACCGUAAGAAUAAGCACCGGCUAACUACGUGCCAGCAGCCGCGGUAAUACGUAGGGUGCGAGCGUUAAUCGGAAUUACUGGGCGUAAAGGGCGCGUAGGCGGCCGAUCAAGUCAGAUGUGAAAGCCCACGGCUUAACCGUGUGAAGUGCAUCUGAAACUGGUCGGCUUGAGUAUCGGAGAGGAAAGUGGAAUUCCCGGUGUAGAGGUGAAAUUCGUAGAUAUCGGGAGGAAUACCGGUGGCGAAGGCGACUUUCUGGACGAAUACUGACGCUGAGGCGCGAAAGCGUGGGGAGCAAACAGGAUUAGAUACCCUGGUAGUCC
rnacentral:rRNA from 1 species